AUUGGACGCUGGCGGCAUGCUUUACACAUGCAAGUCGAACGGCAGCGCGGGCUUCGGCCUGGCGGCGAGUGGCGAACGGGUGAGUAAUAUAUCGGAACGUACCCAAGAGUGGGGGAUAACGUAGCGAAAGUUACGCUAAUACCGCAUACGAUCUAAGGAUGAAAGCAGGGGAUCGCAAGACCUUGUGCUCCUGGAGCGGCCGAUAUCUGAUUAGCUAGUUGGUGAGGUAAAGGCUCACCAAGGCAACGAUCAGUAGCUGGUCUGAGAGGACGACCAGCCACACUGGAACUGAGACACGGUCCAGACUCCUACGGGAGGCAGCAGUGGGGAAUUUUGGACAAUGGGGGCAACCCUGAUCCAGCAAUGCCGCGUGAGUGAAGAAGGCCUUCGGGUUGUAAGGCUCUUUUGUCAGGGAAGAAAAGGUCGUGGCUAAUAUCCACGACUGCUGACGGUACCUGAAGAAUAAGCACCGGCUAACUACGUGCCAGCCGCCGCGGUAA
rnacentral:rRNA from 1 species